GACAUAGCUCAUUCAUCAUAGAGAGAUGAUCCAUGGAAGGAGACAAAGUACAUAAACAAGAUACACAACCACUACAAAUGGGAAGCUUCCACAAGGUGAGAUGGUACCAUCACUCUUCAAUUAAGGUAACAUCUUAAGAUAUGUGACUAUCACUUUUAUAAGUUUCUCCUUGGUUCUAGCGUUCACAUAAAUAAAGAGACAAACAUGUAUGAUUUAUAACUCCAAAUUAACCAACCAAACUGAUUUAGCAUGUUUAGUCCUUUUAAUCUUUGUUCCUAGUACUACCUCUAUGAUCCCACACUUCUAAUCAUAUGAGCUAAAAUGUUGCACAUUCAAUCUUUGGGAAGAUAUAAAGAAAAAGACAUACACAUAGAUAGAUUAUCUUUCCAUAAAGUUGAGCGAUCUGAUCUGACAAAUGUUUUAAAUGCUACACUCAUGAACUUAUCACCCAUCAACUUUGUCUUGCUCCCUAUACUUAAGGAUAGAGAAGAAUAAAUAUACUUUUGGUUCUGUUGGUGUUUUCCACCAACAGGACCCAUGCACUUGAUCUCUGCCUUAUCUCUAUGAGCAGGACACAUUUUGAGAAAUACGGAGGAUUGUUCAACUCCAAGACUCUACCAAGUGAAGGACCUGGAUCUACGAGCACAAACACGUUGAGCAAGAUAUUGUCAACACCGCACUUCGAACUGCUGGGCAAACGAAGAACAUGGAUGACACUGUAUCAAGAGGUGCAAACGUCAAGGUCCACAGCUAAAUCAAAUGACGCACCUAAAGAAUGAACACGAUGAGAAGUCUUGUUCUGAAGACUUAACAUUAAACCCUCGCCGAAAGGUAAAAUCGGUAGUUAUCCAUAAUUAUCUUUUUGCAUUCCUUUUUCUUCUUAAAUUAUUUACUUUCCUUAAAUAGCUUGUUAGUUAAUCAUGCUAUCUUGAAAAGAAAUUAAAAAUGUUAAAAAUAGUAAGCCCCAUGUGAGUAUGCACGUGGCAUAAAACCCAUAAGUACAUUCACUGUGGUGGCAUAAAAAUAAAUAUAUUCUUGUCCCAUAAAAAUAAAAAUAUAAAAAUAAAUUUAUGAUCCUACGAAAGAGAUUAUUAGAGGAAGCUCAACAUGAUAACGGCUAAGAGAUUUUGUGCUAACACUUAACUAGUUCCACAAAGCUUUGUUGUCUAUUUGAGCCCCACAGAAUUCAAGGAUCAAAGAAGACAAGCAGACGAAGGAUAUCCUAAUCGCUGUCAGGGUGCUACCGACAUUAAAAUACACCUCCACCAUCUGCAAGCUACAUCAGAAGAAAUUACGUCAAAAUCCAACUUGGGCG
rnacentral:lncRNA from 1 species